UGGGAUACCUAAAAAUCCCAUGGCAAACUGCUCAGUAACACAUGAUCAACUUACCCUAUAGAGGAAAAUAACCUCGGGAAACUGAGGAUAAUGUUCCAUAGUUGGAUCGGCUUGGAAAAGUUUUUCAAUAAAAGGGAUAAGAAAAAUGGUUCUUAUCUGCUAUAGGAUAGGAUCGUGCUCGAUUAUGGUUGUUGGUGAGGUAAAGGCUCACCAAGCCGAUAAUCGAUAGGGGCCGUGAGAGCGGGAGCCCCGAGAUGGGUACUGAGACAACGACCCAGGCCUUACGAGGCGCAGCAGGCGCGAAACCUCCGCAAUACACGAAAGUGUGACGGGGUUACCCAAAGUGUUCUAUUUAGAACUGUGGUAGGUGAGUAAUGUCCCCUACUAGAAAGGAGAGGGCAAGGCUGGUGCCAGCCGCCGCGGUAAAACCAGCUCUUCAAGUGGUCGGGAUAAUUAUUGGGCUUAAAGUGUCCGUAGCCGGUUUAGUAAGUUCCUGGUAAAAUCGGGUAGCUUAACUAUCUAUAUGCUAGGAAUACUGCUAUACUAGAGGGCGGGAGAGGUCUGAGGUACUACAGGGGUAGGGGUGAAAUCUUAUAAUCCUUGUAGGACCACCAGUGGCGAAGGCGUCAGACUGGAACGCGCCUGACGGUGAGGGACGAAAGCCAGGGGAGCGAACCGGAUUAGAUACCCGGGUAGUCCUGGCCGUAAGCGAUGCAUACUAGGUGAUGGCACGGCCAUGAGCCGUGUCAGUGCCGUAGGGAAACCGUUAAGUGUGCCGCCUGGGAAGUACGGUCGCAAGGCUAAAACUUAAAGGAAUUGGCGGGGGAGCACCACAAGGGGUGAAGCCUGCGGUUC
rnacentral:rRNA from 1 species